rnacentral:rRNA from 1 species
AUUGAACGCUGGCGGCAGGCCUUACACAUGCAAGUCGAACGGCAGCGCGGACUUCGGUCUGGCGGCGAGUGGCGAACGGGUGAGUAAUACAUCGGAACGUACCCUGUUGUGGGGGAUAACUAGUCGAAAGAUUAGCUAAUACCGCAUACGACCCGAGGGUGAAAGUGGGGGACCGCAAGGCCUCACGCAGCAGGAGCGGCCGAUGUCUGAUUAGCUAGUUGGUGGGGUAAAGGCCCACCAAGGCGACGAUCAGUAGCUGGUCUGAGAGGACGAUCAGCCACACUGGGACUGAGACACGGCCCAGACUCCUACGGGAGGCAGCAGUGGGGAAUUUUGGACAAUGGGGGCAACCCUGAUCCAGCAAUGCCGCGUGUGUGGAGAAGGCCUUCGGGUUGUAAAGCACUUUUGUCCGGAAAGAAAUCGCGCUGGUUAAUACCUGGCGUGGAUGACGGUACCGGAAGAAUAAGCACCGGCUAACUACGUGCCAGCCGCCGCCGUAA